GAUUUCAGCUGAAAAAGUCAUGAAUAUAAAAGUUGUAGAACUCAUAAAGAUCUAUAAUUUUUAUUUUGGUCAUUUCUUCAUCUGAUAAAGUGAUAGUAACAUUGUUCAUAAAUUUUACAUCUCUCUCAUGGUUUCAGAGAGAGAUGUAAAAUUUGUGAACAAUAUUACUAUCACUUUAUCGGAUGAAGAAAUGACCAAAAUAAAAGUUAUAGAUAUUGAUGAGUUAUACAACUUUGUUGUAUAUGACCUUUUCAGUUGAAAUC
rnacentral:pre_miRNA from 1 species